rnacentral:lncRNA from 1 species
GCAGAUCUGUUGCCAAAUAAACCCUGGCCAAAUAAGCGUAUGCCAACUUCCUUAUGUUUCAGUUUAGGAAAGGGAGCGCUCCGAUUCUGUACACGUUCUUGUAUGCGAGAAACUUCAUGUACCUGUGGAGUGUUUGGCGAGCAAGAGCGUGGUGAGAACUGCGGGUGCACAAUCACAGCUCGGAGACAGACUGGGAAGGAGUACGUUAUUGGCAGGAUUUUAUUGGCAAGACAAGGCAGCUGGUUUGGCUGUCACUAUGAGCUUGGGAGAGGCACUAUCAGAGUUUUUGACAUUUAUCUCAAAGGUCUGUAA